rnacentral:rRNA from 1 species
UCGAGAAUCUUCGGCAAUGGGCGCAAGCCUGACCGAGCGACGCCGCGUGCGAGAUGAAGGCCUUCGGGUUGUAAAUCGCUGUCAGUGGGGAGGAAAUGCCGGUGGGUUCUCCCACCGGUUUGACCUAUCCUCAGAGGAAGGACGGGCUAAGUUCGUGCCAGCAGCCGCGGUAAGACGAACCGUCCAAACGUUAUUCGGAAUCACUGGGCUUAAAGGGUGCGUAGGCGGUCCGGGAAGUUGGGUGUGAAAACCCUCGGCUCAACCGAGGAAUUGCGCCCAAAACUGCCGGGCUUGAGGGAGACAUAGGUGAGCGGAACUUAGGGUGGAGCGGUGAAAUGCGUUGAGAUCCUAAGGAACACCAGUAGCGAAAGCGGCUCACUGGGUCUCUUCUGACGCUGAAGCACGAAAGCUAGGGGAGCGAAGAG